rnacentral:tRNA from 1 species
AUUUAAAUAGCUUAAAUAAGAGCAUAAUAUUGAAGCUAUUAAGGUGAUUAUAUAAUCUUUAAAUA